CAACACACAGUUACAAUCACAAUAACAAUCCUACCGUUGCGCGAUCACCGCCCGCUC
rnacentral:ribozyme from 1 species